rnacentral:rRNA from 1 species
BGAGUUUGAUUAUGGCUCAGGAUGAACGCUAGCGAUAGGCUUAACACAUGCAAGUCGAGGGGCAUCACGGGAUUAGCUUGCUAAUCUUGGUGGCGACCGGCGUAAGGGUGCGUAACGCGUAUGCAACUUGCCUGUCAGUGGGGUAUAACCCGGAGAAAUCCGGACUAAUACCGCAUACACUUUAGUUUCCGCAUGGGGACUUUAGGAAAGAUUUAUUGCUGACAGAUAGGCAUGCGUUCCAUUAGAUAGUUGGUGAGGUAACGGCUCACCAAGUCAACGAUGGAUAGGGGAGCUGAGAGGCUUAUCCCCCACACUGGAACUGAGACACGGUCCAGACUCCUACGGGAGGCAGCAGUGAGGAAUAUUGGUCAAUGGGCGAGAGCCUGAACCAGCCAAGUCGCGUGAAGGAAGACGGUCCUAUGGAUUGUAAACUUCUUUAGUAGGUGAGUACAAGCAGUUACGUGUAGCUGUAAGCAAGU